GUAGGGAAUAUUGCACAAUGGGCGAAAGCCUGAUGCAGCAACGCCGCGUGCGCGAUGAAGGCCUUCGGGUUGUAAAGCGCUUUUCUAGGAGAUGAGAAAGGACAGUAUCCUUGGAAUAAGGAUCGGCUAACUACGUGCCAGCAGCCGCGGUAAAACGUAGGAUCCGAGCGUUAUCCGAAUUCACUGGGCGUAAAGCGCGUGCAGGCGGCCCUGUAAGUUGGAUGUGAAAUCUCCCGGCUCAACUGGGAGGGGACGUUCAAUACUGUAGGGCUAGAGGGCGAUAGAGGGAGGUAGAAUUCCCGGUGUAGUGGUGAAAUGCGUAGAUAUCGGGAGGAAUACCAGAGGCGAAGGCGGCCUCCUGGGUCGCACCUGACGCUCAGACGCGAAAGCUAGGGGAGCGAACGGGAUUAGAAACCCCAGUAGUCC
rnacentral:rRNA from 1 species